rnacentral:ncRNA from 2 species
GCAGGUGAGGGUUGCGCUGGUUCCUGCCUCUCGGGCAGGCGAAGAGGGAAUGCGACAGGCAGGGCCGGAAAGGUCCCGCCAAAGCGCAGCCGCCCCCGCGACCGUGACCGGAUAGGUCGCCCAGGCCACUGGCAAGAUGCCGGGAAGGUGGGUCGACCGUUGGGGAAACCCUGAAUCCGCAAGCCGGGAGACCUGCCAGCGCUGGUUGUUGACG